rnacentral:lncRNA from 1 species
UCUUUUUUGUUUUUCCCGGGAAAAUAAAAAAAUUCCCAAAAUUCCUAUAAAUCUUGUACGUACGCCCCUCCCCCACCCUGUAAAUAGCCCCUCCCCCCUCCGGCCGACAAUCGGGGGCGGCACCCCCAAAAUCCCGGGAUUUCACCCCAAAAAAUGCCGGGAUUUCCCCAAAAAAAUCCUGGGAAUUCAUCCCAAAAAAAAAUCUGGGAUUUCCCAAUAAAAUCCUGGGAUUUCACCCAAAAAUUCUGGGAUUUCACCCAAAAUUCCAGGAUUUCCCCCCCAAUUCCAGGAUUUCUCCCCAAAUCCCGGGAUUUCCCCUCUAUAAAUAUUAUAAAUACAGAGAUGGAAACUUGGAAGAAUUCCCGAAUCUUGGAUUCCUUUUUUUGGGGAUUUGGGGGAUUUUUUAUGGGAUUUGGGAUUUUUUUUAUGGAAUUCUGGGUGGUUUUUAUGGGAUUUGGGGGAAAUUUUGGGGAUUUGGGGGAAUUUUUUGGGAUUUGGGGGAAUUUUUUUGGGAUUUGGGGGAAUUUUGGGGUUUGGGGUGGGAUUUUUUGGGGGAUUUGGGGAAUUUUUUGGGAUUUGGGGUGGAAUUUUGGGGGAAUUUUUGGGAUUUGGGGUGGGAUUUUUUGGGAUUUGGGGGAAUUUUUAUGGGAUUUGGGGGAAUUUUUUGGGAUUUGGGGGAAUUUUUUGGGGGAUUUGGGAGAAUUUUUGGGGAUUUGGGGGAAUUU